rnacentral:rRNA from 1 species
UACGAAGGGUGCAAGCGUUACUCGGAAUUACUGGGCGUAAAGCGUGCGUAGGUGGUUCGUUAAGUCUGAUGUGAAAGCCCCGGGCUCAACCUGGGAAUUGCAUUCGAGACUGCAUUGCUGGAGUACGGAAGAGGAAGGCGGAAUUCCCGGUGUAGCGGUGAAAUGCGUAGAUAUCGGGAGGAACAUCAGUGGCGAAGGCGGCCUUCUGGUCCAGUACUGACACUCAAGUGCGAAAGCGUGGGGAGCAAACAGG